UACAGAGGGUGCGAGCGUUGUCCGGAAUCACUGGGCGUAAAGGGCGCGUAGGCGGCGCGGUAAGCGUGCGGUGAAAGCCCGGGGCUCAACCCCGGGUCGGCCGUGCGGACUGCCGAGCUAGAGCACUGUAGAGGCAGGUGGAAUUCCGGGUGUAGCGGUGGAAUGCGUAGAGAUCCGGAAGAACACCGGUGGCGAAGGCGGCCUGCUGGGCAGUAGCUGACGCUGAAGCGCGACAGCGUGGGGAGCAAACAGG
rnacentral:rRNA from 1 species